CAAUUAUUCAAGCUUGGGUAUACGGGGAAACCCAACCCCUUGGGCGGAUGUGUUACAUGGCUAAAUUGAGAGGG
rnacentral:ribozyme from 1 species